ACGGGUGAGUAACGCGUGGGAAUCUACCGUGCCCUGCGGAAUAGCUCCGGGAAACUGGAAUUAAUACCGCAUACGCCCUACGGGGGAAAGAUUUAUCGGGGUAUGAUGAGCCCGCGUUGGAUUACCUAGUUGGUGGGGUAAAGGCCUACCAAGGCGACGAUCCAUAGUUGGUCUGAGAGGAUGAUCAGCCACAUUGGGACUGAGACACGGCCCAAACUCCUACGGGAGGCAGCAGUGGGGAAUAUUGGACAAUGGGCGCAAGCCUGAUCCAGCCAUGCCGCGUGAGUGAUGAAGGCCUUAGGGUUGUAAAGCUCUUUCACCGGAGAAGAUAAUGACGGUAUCCGGAGAAGAAGCCCCGGCUAACUUCGUGCCAGCAGCCGCGGUAAUACGAAGGGGGCUAGCGUUGUUCGGAAUUACUGGGCGUAAAGCGCACGUAGGCGGAUAUUUAAGUCAGGGGUGAAAUCCCAGAGCUCAACUCUGGAACUGCCUUUGAUACUGGGUAUCUUGAGUAUGGAAGAGGUAAGUGGAAUUCCGAGUGUAGAGGUGAAAUUCGUAGA
rnacentral:rRNA from 1 species